AACACAAUUGUUCAGAGAUGUAUUAUGGGAUGGCACGUGGUUCUUAAUAAAUUAAAUUAGUUCAUUGAGAUUGACAUUUGAGCCGUCAAGUUUUCAAACAUUGUUUGAUUCGUGUUUUUUUUUUUGGUUUGUGUCCGGUACAUAUCUUGUGAACCGUUUAAUCUGGGUUUUCCAAACUAAGUAUGCAUUUACAUCAUAUAAUAGCCAAUAGGGGAUGGUCAUAAACUAAAAUCAGGUCACUGUGAUACGGAUCCAAUCAUAAUGGAAUCCUGUCCGCGACAUAUAUAACUGCAAAACUUGAGAUUUACCAAACCAGAUACAGAAGUUGGUUUCACAAAAAAACUUCAGACAAGAUUAAUCUUAGGAAAACUGAACUAUUCAUGACUUACGACCAGCUUUAGUCGUAAGAUUUGUUGUGAAACUGACCCCAGAUGCAAAAUUAGAAUGCAGUGAUUUAAAAACUAAAGUUAGAUCCCACGAUGACCUUUAUUUUGACAUUUGGGAUUAUAUACUUUACAAACACUUUAAAUUUCUUAACGUAUUUUCUUAUUACGACUGCAGUUAUUUUCACGCACAUUUGUGUAGUCAAAAGGAUUGCAGUUAAAAUGCAAGCAUUAUUUUUUUUACCAGUAUUCAAAACUUAGAUAUAUAUAGAUACAUGUAUGUAUCAACUAAUAUGAAUUUGCGGGAUUUAGUUCGGCUUAACC
rnacentral:lncRNA from 1 species